GCGGGUAUAGUUUAGUGGUAGAAUGACUGCCUUCCAAGCAGUAGACGGGAGUUCGAUUCCCCCUACCCGCA
rfam:Parcubacteria bacterium GW2011_GWD2_42_14 TT98_C0002, whole genome shotgun sequence.